AAAACGACUCUCGGCAACGGAUAUCUCGGCUCUCGCAUCGAUGAAGAACGUAGCGAAAUGCGGUACUUGGUGUGAAUUGCAGAAUCCCGUGAACCAUCGAGUCUUUGAACGCAAGUUGCGCCCCAAGCCUUCUGGCCGAGGGCACGUCUGCCUGGGUGUCACAA
rnacentral:rRNA from 1 species